rnacentral:rRNA from 1 species
AGCAUCGCGGUGGCGGAGCGUCGUUUGCGACGCCCAACACACAAAACAAGCGGUGAGUGCUUUGGGGUGGGGUGACUGCGUACCUUUUGUAUAAUGGGUCAGCGACUUAUAUUCUGUAGCAAGGUUAACCGAAUAGGGGAGCCGGAGGGAAACCGAGUCUUAAUUGGGCGUUAAGUUGCAGGGUAUAGACCCGAAACCCGGUGAUCUAGCCAUGGGCAGGUUGAAGGUUGGGUAACACUAACUGGAGGACCGAACCGACUAAUGUUGAAAAAUUAGCGGAUGACCUGUGGCUGGGGGUGAAAGGCCAAUCAAACCGGGAGAUAGCUGGUUCUCCCCGAAAGCUAUUUAGGUAGCGCCUCGUGAAUUCAUCUCCGGGGGUAGAGCACUGUUUCGGCUAGGGGGCCAUCCCGGCUUACCAACCCGAUGCAAACUGCGAAUACCGGAGAAUGUUAUCACGGGAGACACACGGCGGGUGCUAACGUCCGUCGUGAAGAGGGAAACAACCCAGACCGCCAGCUAAGGUCCCAAAGUCAUGGUUAAGUGGGAAACGAUGUGGGAAGGCCCAGACAGCCAGGAUGUUGGCUUAGAAGCAGCCAUCAUUUAAAGAAAGCGUAAUAGCUCACUGGUCGAGUCGGCCUGCGCGGAAGAUGUAACGGGGCUAAACCAU